rnacentral:rRNA from 1 species
AUAGUACCAUUUUGAUCUAUACUAUUAAUUAAAUGGAACAAUGUUUAGUGGGCCAUUUUUGGUAAGCAGAACUGGCGAUGCGGGAUGAACCGAAAGUUAAGUUAAAGUGUCGAAAUAUAAGCUAAUUUAGAUAUCAUAAAAGGUGUUGAUUUAUAUAGACAGCAGGACGGUGGUCAUGGAAGUCGAUAUCCGCUAAGAAGUGUGUAACAACAUACCUGCCAAAUGAAUUGGCCCUGAAAAUCGAUGACGCUCAAGCUUAAUACUUAAACUUAACCGUUAUUGCGAAUUAAUUAGCUUUAACGAGUAGGAGAACGUGAAUGUAAUUAAAAAGUUUAAUGAAGUGAUUCUAAAUGAAAUUGCAUUUAGUGCAGAUCUUGGUGGUAGUAGCAAAUAUUCAAGUAAAAUUCUUGAAAACCGAUGAAGAGAUAGGUUUCAUGAGAACAGCAAUUGAUCAUGAGUUAGUCGAUCCUAAAGUAAAGAUU